AUGGGGAAGGCGGCGGCGGUGGGCACGGCGGUGGUGGUGUGCGCGGCGGUCGGCACGGCCAUGGUGCUCGGCCGGCGCCGGCGCCGCAGGGACGCGGAGCUGCUCGGCGCGGCCGAGGCCGAGAGGAAGCGCAGGGUGGCGGCCGUCAUCGAGGACGUCGAGCGCACGCUCGCCACGCCCACGGCCCUGCUGCGGGGCAUCUCCGACGCGCUCGUCCUCGAGAUGGAGCGCGGCCUGCGCGGGGACAUCCACUCCCAGCUCAAGAUGCUCAUCAGCUACGUCGACCAGCUCCCCACCGGAGACGAACAUGGCUUGUUUUAUGCAUUGGAUCUUGGAGGUACCAACUUCCGUGUUCUGCGAGUCCAACUUGGAGGAAGGGAGAAACGUGUUGCCAAGCAACAGUAUCAGGAAGUCUCUAUUCCACCACACCUGAUGGUCGGAACUUCCUUGGAACUAUUUGAUUUCAUUGCUUCUGUAUUGGCCAAAUUUAUUGAAACUGAAGGUGACGAGUUCCACCUCCCAGUGGGGAGGCAGAGAGAGCUGGGUUUCACCUUUUCCUUUCCGGUAAACCAAUUAUCAAUAUCAUCAGGAACACUCAUCAAGUGGACAAAGGGCUUUUCAAUCAACGGCGCGGUUGGUGAGGAUGUUGUGGCUGAGUUGAGCAAGGCCAUGGAGAGGCAGGGGCUGGAUAUGAAAGUUUCAGCACUGGUUAAUGACACAGUCGGCACAUUGGCUGGUGGGAGAUAUAUGGAUAAUGAUGUGGUUGCUGCCAUAAUAUUGGGCACUGGUACAAAUGCAGCAUAUGUUGAGCAUGCUAAUGCAAUUCCUAAGUGGACUGGACUACUGCCGAAAUCCGGAAAUAUGGUAAUCAACACGGAAUGGGGAAGCUUUAAAUCGGACAAGCUUCCACUUUCAGAAUACGACAAAGCAUUGGACUUCGAAAGUUUGAACCCUGGAGAACAGAUAUAUGAAAAGUUGAUUUCCGGCAUGUAUCUUGGAGAGAUUGUGCGAAGAAUCUUACUGAAAUUGGCUCAUGAUGCUGCAUUAUUUGGGGAUGUUGUUCCAGCUAAGCUGGAACUGCCAUUCGUACUUAGGACCCCAGAUAUGUCUGCCAUGCACCAUGAUGCAUCACAUGACCUUAAAAUUCUGGGAAGUAAGCUAAAGGAUAUCGUUGGGGUUGCGGAUACUUCCCUGGAAGUAAGAUACAUUACUCGUCACAUAUGUGACAUCGUUGCAGAGCGCGGCGCACGCUUGGCCGCUGCUGGCAUAUAUGGCAUCCUGAAGAAGCUAGGCCGGGACAAGGUGCCAACCGACGGCAGCCCGAUGCCAAGGACCGUGGUUGCCUUGGACGGUGGGCUCUAUGAGCACUACAAGAAGUUCAGCAGCUGCUUAGAGGCAACUCUUUCAGAUCUCCUCGGGGACGAGGCCUCUUCUUCGCUGGUUGCCAAGCUGGCCAAUGACGGCUCUGGCAUUGGAGCUGCUCUCCUCGCCGCUUCGCACUCCCAGUACGCUGAUAUCUACUAG
rnacentral:rRNA from 1 species